AUUGAACGCUGGCGGCAGGCCUAACACAUGCAAGUCGAGCGGAUGAAGGGAGCUUGCUCCUGGAUUCAGCGGCGGACGGGUGAGUAAUGCCUAGGAAUCUGCCUGGUAGUGGGGGAUAACGUCCGGAAACGGGCGCUAAUACCGCAUACGUCCUGAGGGGGAAAGUGGGGGAUCUUCGGACCUCACGCUAUCAGAUGAGCCUAGGUCGGAUUAGCUAGUUGGUGGGGUAAAGGCCUACCAAGGCGACGAUCCGUAACUGGUCUGAGAGGAUGAUCAGUCAAAAGGGAACUGAGACAGGGUCCAGACCCCUACGGGAGGCAGCGGGGGGGAAUAUUGGAACAAGGGCGAAAGCCUGACCCAGCCCGGGCGCGGGGUUGAAGAAGUUUUUCGGAUUUUAAAGCCUUUUAAGUUGGGAGGAAGGAAAGUAAUUUAAUACCUGUCUGUUUUGACGUUCCCAAAAAAAAAAACCCCGGCGAACUUCGU
rnacentral:rRNA from 1 species